GUAGUUGACAAAGAAAUCUUUUCUGAACUGAUAGAGGCCAGUCCUGAUUUAUGCCUGACAGUACACGACAGAAUUCCUGAUGCAGACCUCUCUCCUUUAGAUCAUUCAACAUCUUCCUCCCUCACAAGUAUGAAAACAUCACUUCAAGUGACAAUGACUACUCCAGUCAAAUGGAAUAUGGGAUUCCCAUAGGCAGACGUACAUCCAGCUCUGAAGUCAGACCCAGGCCUACCGCAGAAGUUUCAGAGUCAGAGGCUGCAAAAGAGGAGCACUUCUAUGAUGUGGAGAAAGGCACUGGAUAUUUAGCUUGGCGCCUUAAGACCAUGAAUGCAGUAAAAAGACCAGCCAAGACAGCUCCAGUGGCUCAAGAACAAGGACCAA